rnacentral:rRNA from 1 species
GUUGAACGCUGGCGGCAGGCCUAACACAUGCAAGUCGAGCGGAUGAAGGGGGCGUGCUCCUCGCUGCAGCGGCGGACGGGCGGGUGAUUCCUACGAAUCUGCCUUGUAUUUGGGGAUAACAUCCGUUAACGGGCGCUGAUACCACAUACGUUCAGAUGUUGAAAGUGGGGGAUCUUUGGACAUCGACGUUUCUGCUGACCCUAGGUCGUAUUAGCUAGUUGGUUGGGUAAAGGCCUACCAAGGCGACGAUCCGUAACUGGUCUGAGAGGAUGAUCAGCCACACUGGAACUGAGACACGGUCCAGACUCCUACGGGAGGCAGCAGUGGGGAAUAUUGGACAAUGGGCGAAAGCCUGAUCCAGCCAUGCCGCGUGUGUGAAGAAGGUCUUCGGAUUGUAAAGCACUUUAAGUUGGGAGGAAGGGAAGUAAGUUAAUACCUUGCUGUUUUGACGUUACCAACAGAAUAAGCACCGGCUAACUUCGUG